AGAACGAACGCUGGCGGCAUGCCUAAUACAUGCAAGUCGAACGAACUCUUCGGAGUUAGUGGCGCACGGGUGCGUAACGCGUGGGAAUCUGCCCCUUGGUUCGGAAUAACAGUUGGAAACGACUGCUAAUACCGGAUGAUGACGAAAGUCCAAAGAUUUAUCGCCAAGGGAUGAGCCCGCGUAGGAUUAGCUAGUUGGUGAGGUAAAGGCUCACCAAGGCAACGAUCCUUAGCUGGUCUGAGAGGAUGAUCAGCCACACUGGGACUGAGACACGGACCCAAACUCCGUACGGGAGCAGCGAGGUGGGAAUA
rnacentral:rRNA from 1 species